rnacentral:rRNA from 1 species
CCUUCGGGUUGUAAACCGCUUUGUCAGGGAAGAAAAGCUCCGGGCUAAUACCUUGGAGUCAUGACGGUACCUGAAGAAUAAGCACCGGCUAACUACGUGC